AUCCAGCUGACGAGUGCCAAAUAGGAUGAAACACGCGUCCUGGAU
rnacentral:hammerhead_ribozyme from 1 species